UACGUAGGCAGCGAGCGUUGUUCGGAGUUACUGGGCGUAAAGGGUGUGUAGGCGGUUGUUUAAGUUUGGUGUGAAAUCUCCCGGCUCAACUGGGAGGGUGCGCCGAAUACUGAAUGACUUCGAGUGCGGGAGAGGAGAGUGGAAUUCCUGGUGCAGCGGUGAAAUGCGUAGAGAUUAGGAAGAACACCAGUGGCGAAGGCGACUUACUGGACUGUAACUGACGCUGAGGUUCGAAAGCGUGGGGAGCAAACAGG
rnacentral:rRNA from 1 species